rnacentral:rRNA from 1 species
GACGAACGCUGGCGGCGUGCUUAACACAUGCAAGUCGAGCGGAAAGGCCCUUCGGGGUACUCGAGCGGCGAACGGGUGAGUAACACGUGAGAAACCUGCCCUGGACUUUGGGAUAACCCUCGGGAAACGGGGGCUAAUACCGGAUAUGACAUUCGACCGCAUGGUUGUUUGUGGAAAGUUUUUCGGUCUGGGAUGGUCUCGCGGCCUAUCAGCUUGUUGGUGGGGUAAUGGCCUACCAAGGCGACGACGGGGUAGCCGGCCUGAGAGGGCGACCGGCCACACUGGGACUGAGACACGGCCCAGACUCCUACGGGAGGCAGCAGUGGGGAAUAUUGCACAAGUGGGCGGAAGCCUGAUGCAGCGACGCCGCGUGAGGGAUGACGGCCUUCG